GAAUUCGAUUCUCCUGGAAACGGGUGGUAAUGCCGGAUGCUCCACAUGAUCACAUGUGAUUGUGGGAAAGAUUUAUCGGUAUGGGAUGGGGUCGCGUCCUAUCAGGUAGUUGGUGGGGUAAUGGCCUACCAAGCCUACGACGGGUAGCCGGCCUGAGAGGGCGACCGGCCACAUUGGGACUGAGAUACGGCCCAGACUCCUACGGGAGGCAGCAGUGGGGAAUAUUGCACAAUGGGCGCAAGCCUGAUGCAGCGACGCCGCGUGGGGGAUGACGGCCUUCGGGUUGUAAACCGCUUUUGUUAGGGAGCAAGCGCAAGUGAGUGUACCUUUCGAAUAAGCACCGGCUAACUACGUGCCAGCAGCCGCGGUAAUACGUAGGGUGCAAGCGUUAUCCGGAAUUACUGGGCGUAAAGAGCUCGUAGGCGGUUUGUCGCGUCUGGUGUGAAAGUCCAUCGCUUAACGGUGGAUCUGCGCCGGGUACGGGCAGGCUAGAGUGUGGUAGGGGAGACUGGAAUUCCCGGUGUAACGGUGGAAUGUGUAGAUAUCGGGAAGAACACCAAUCACUAGUG
rnacentral:rRNA from 1 species